GUCACUGGGGAAACCGCCGUCCUAGCAGCUGCGCGCGCAGUUUGAACCAAUGCCCCUUGCGCGACAACGGCCUCAGAACGCCAGUUGUGGCCGACGUGUCUCGGAGACGCAGAGACGCCAAGGCCCCUGCGACCAGGUGGCUGCAGCUAGGCCGGAGGCGUCAGGACGACGGAGCGACUUCCGGUCGUUGGCGCGCAGGCCUGAGGGAGCUGGGCCCCCCUUUUCCGCCCGCGCCCCAGGCCCUUGCAGACCGGGAUUCGCGUCCUGGAGUGAGAAGGAAGCAGUGCCCAGGCCGCCGAUUUUAUUUGGAGAAAAGCAAGCAUCUUUGACUCUUUGGAGUAGGAAAUUCAGACUUGGAAAAGAAGUUGGAAAAAAAUUCCUCCUGAUGGACAUUUGACAAGAGAAACAGAAGUAUGUUGCUGAGAAAUGAGUAGCAUCAAGUCAGGAACAGGAGGAACAAAGGGACUCCUGCCUUUGCUGCUGAUCCACCAGAACAGCCAUCAGACUCCUCAGCCUGCUGCUGGCUCAUCAGCUGCGCCUGAGCUGGCUGUGGGAUCCUGAGUGUGGUGUGGGGUUGACUGUUUCUCACCAUGUCUUCUCACAAGACUUUCAUCAUUAAGCGAUUCCUGGCCAAGAAACAAAAGCAAAAUCGUCCCAUUCCCCAGUGGAUUCAGAUGAAAACUGGUAAUAAAAUCAGGUACAACUCCAAAAGGAGACAUUGGAGAAGAACCAAGCUGGGUCUAUAAGGAAUUGCACAUGAGAUGGCAUGCAUAUUUAUGCUGUAUCAAGAUCAUGAUCGUCUUACAAUAUCAGGCUGAAAUGUCACCACUAUCUGGACUGUUGCAUGUUUUACUUGGAAUAUAUCUUUCUCUUUGUGUAUAUGCUCUGUGCUAGUAAGGUGGAUUCAGCAAUAAAUAUAUGAAAGCCUUUGUUUCAAAAA